rnacentral:rRNA from 1 species
GCCAGACUCCUACGGGAGGCAGCAGUGGGGGAUAUUGCACAAUGGGGGGAACCCUGAUGCAGCGACGCCGCGUGGGUGAAGGAGCGUUUCGGCGCGUAAAGCCCUCUCGGCAGGGAAGAAGGAGGACGGUACCUGACUAAGAAGCCCCGGCUAACUACGUGCCAGCAGCCGCGGUAAUACGUAGGUGGCAAGCGUUAUCCGGAUUCACUGGGUGUAAAGGGAGCGUAGACGGCGGCGCAAGUCUGGAGUGAAAGCCCGGGGCCGAACCCCGGGACUGCGCUGGAAACUGCGGCGCUGGAGUACGGGAGGGGGAGGCGGAAUUCCUGGUGUAGCGGUGAAAUGCGUAGAUAUCAGGAGGAACACCGGUGGCGGAGGCGGCCUGCUGGACUGCGACUGACGUUGAGGCCCGAAAGCGUGGGGAGCAAACAGGAUUAGAUACCCCGGUAAAC